UCUGGAAACUNUCUGACUUGAGUGCAGAAGGGGAGAGUGGAAUNCCAUGUGUAGCGGUGAAAUGCGUAGAUAUAUGGAGGAACACCAGUGGCGAAAGCGGCUCUCUGGUCUGUCACUGACGCUGAGGCUCGAAAGCGUGGGUAGCGAACAGGAUUAGAUACUCUGGUAGUCCACGCCGUAAACGAUGAGUGCUAGGUGUUAGGCCCUUUCCGGGGCUUAGUGCCGGAGCUAACGCAAUAAGCACUCCGCCUGGGGAGUACGACCGCAAGGUUGAAACUCAAAGGAAUUGACGGGGGCCCGCACAAGCGGUGGAGCAUGUGGUUUAAUUCGAAGCAACGCGAAGAACCUUACCAGGUCUUGACAUCCCGAUGCUAUUCUUAGAGAUAGGAAGUUACUUCGGUACAUCGGAGACAGGUGGUGCAUGGUUGUCGUCAGCUCGUGUCGUGAGAUGUUGGGUUAAGUCCCGCAACGAGCGCAACCCUUAUUGUUAGUUGCCAUCAUUAAGUUGGGCACUCUAGCGAGACUGCCGGUAAUAAACCGGAGGAAGGUGGGGAUGACGUCAAAUCAUCAUGCCCCUUAUGACCUGGGCUACACACGUGCUACAAUGGUCGGUACAACGAGUUGCGAGCCGGUGACGGCAAGCUAAUCUCUGAAAGCCGAUCUCAGUUCGGAUUGGAGGCUGCAACUCGCCU
rnacentral:rRNA from 1 species